GGAGUGAUCACGGACUGUUGGAUGGCUAGGUACGUAGAUCGCCCAUGUGGUUCCCACAUGGAACUCGUGUCAGGAUGUCCACCAGGCGAUGCAUUUUGACUUGUCGUGCUAUUGAUGUGGGUGUCUUAUGUGACCGCAUUUCCUCUUUUUGAGAUUGGCCCCUGUUUUCUAACUUUUCUUUUAAAUAUACCCUUAUCUUAUUU
rnacentral:lncRNA from 1 species